UAUUCUCUCUCUCUCUACAGUCGGUGCAAUGGAUCAAAAACCUCCAUCAUCAUCUUCAAACAAUGGAGCUUCAUAUCCUUCCCUGGAGCUACUGAACAGUUACACUGCCGAAGACGACAAAAUCAUCAAAGUUUGUCAAUUUUAAUUUCCUAAUAUAUAUAUAUAUAUAUAUAUAUAUAUAUAUAUAUAUAUAUAUAUAUAUGCGCACAUAAACGUUUCAUAACUAUUGUUAAUGAUGUUAUUUUUGUAGGAGAGGAUCGACGAAAUGUUUAGAACCUAUGGAGUCCAUCAAACUGUGAACAAACUGCUGGUAUAAAUUUAUAUACUCACUGCUGAUCAAUAAAUAAAUAAAUAAAUUUAUAUCCUACUAAUAUCUAAUAUAUAAAGUUGGGGUUGGGGUUGGGGUUGGGGUUGGUGUUAACAAAUUUUUGAAGUCAAAUAUCCUUCAACUUUUAAAGUAAUUCCUAUUUUGUCAUUUUUAUAUUAUUUCUUUUUUAUUUGUUUACUUGGUUAUUCAAAUUUUAUAAAAUUCAUAUCUUAUCCCACAUAAUUUACACACAUAUCCACGGGUGCUAGUAUAUGUUAAACUUUCUUUGAUAAAAAUCUAUAAGAAACUAUAUAAUCUUCAUUUUGUCGCACUUCUACAUUUAACAAAGAUUAGGAUCUUUAGGAUCUUCAGUUUGUCCCACUUAUAUAACCAACGUUGUGAUCUUCAUUUUGUCGCACCAUGUCAAACAUUAUGAUCUUCAUUUGGUUUCACUAUACAUCUUCAUUUUGUUGCAUUAUCCUAAACAUUAAAAUCUUCUUUUUGUCGCAUUAUGCUAAACAUUAAAAUAUAUAAUGAACAUUAAAAUAUUCGUUUUGUCGUACUAUACGAACGUUAAAAUUUUCAUUUUGUUGCACUACGCUAAACAUUAAAAUCAUCGUUUUGUCGCACUAUGCGAACAUUAAAAUUAUCAUUUUGUCGCAUUAUGUUGACUUAAUUAAAAUCUUAUUUUUGACACACUGUCGAACUUUUUAAUUAUUACUAAAAUUAGGUAUUUUGUACUUUAUUUAUUAACUUGCAUUUAUGUAAACUAGUGCGUUUAAUUAAUAAUUUGUUGUGUUAUGUCUAAAUUUUAAUUCUACAUUACUAAAACAUCCUUAACAUUGUGAAUUUGUAGUGUCAUACGUAAAGGUCAAGUAGAAUUUAGAAUAUAGUCAAUAAUAUUUCUCAUACAUUUGUUAAUAGUGUUGAGUGUUUCUCAUAUUGUUUUUUCUAUAAUAUCAAGUUAAUGGUUGUUCUUCAUUACUCUAUCCUUCUUGGAUGAUUAAAGAUGUGAAGGAUAACUAAGUCAUUUAAUUAGGUUCAUUAGUAUAAAAAAAAUUUACUCAUCAUUUUAUAUAAUUUUGUGGAGUCACUAAUUAGAUAAAUUUAUUUAUUUUUUAAUUUACUCUUUUUAUAUAUUUUUAUUUUUUUAAAUAUAUAUACAAAUUGCUCAUUUUUUUGAGACAGAGGGAGUAAAAUAUUGUGUCCGUAGCUAAGGGUGUAAACGAACUGAGUAUUGAGUUGCUCAAGAUUUGAUUCACAAAAUUUAUCGAGUACAAAAUAAGGUUUGAUUGAGUCUCAUUUAGCUACCGAGUCGAGCCCGAACAGUUUGAACUUUUCGAGCGAAUAUGAUCCGAGUAUUAAUAGAAAAUUACAAUUUGAAGAGGUUCGAGUAAUUUAUCGAACUUUAAAAUUUGCUCAUAUUUGACUCAUUUAUAUUUCGAGUCGUACUCGAAUCGAACUUUUAGUCGAGCGGGUAUGAAUCGAGCACGAACUGUUUGCUCAUUUUACAGCUUUAUCCGGAGCUAUAAUUUGUAGCUAAGGCUGAAUAUUAUAAUAACUCACGGUAAGAAGUAGUAGAAUAUAUAGUGAAAAAAGAAAAACAUAAAACGCAAAAUAAAUCCGUUCUUUAUUUUUUAUGUUUUAUAAUAUGCCUUGGUUUUCAUUUCCUUGUGCUAUGUAUGUUUGUAAGAAUUCUAAUAUUGGGAGUAUAUUUUCGUAGAUUAUAAUUACAAGAUUAAUAUAUAAUUCUAUAAUUAAAUAGUCCUAGUCACAUGUUUAUUUUUUAUGAGAUUAUUCAUGUGAUAAUUUAAAAUAAUCUCAUGUUAUGUUUGUUUUGUCCAAAAUUAUUUAAAAGAUUAAUGGAUAAAAAGUUACCGUUUGGACUAUCAUACAAUUACUACUAAUAACAAAGAUAUUAUAUUAUCAUUAGUUUAAGUAUAGAUAGAUAGUAUAAGAUACAUUGGUCUUUUUAAACAAAGUUAAAAGUUAAUUUUGUCUACAAAUAUUUAGCCUUAAAUGGUAGGGAUUAUAAUACCUAGUUGGACGUGAUAUUGAAUAAUCCCUCCUUUCAAGUCAUUUUAUUCUCCUAGACUAAUAGUGUCAAGUCUAUUUUUAAAAAUAAAUAAGAGACUUGAGAUUAAUUAAUAGUCCAAUCUCAAAUAUAAUUCUUACAAACAAACGUAACUUUAGAUUCUACACUAAAAAAAAUUCUUUAAAAUGUGUUUGCUUUAAAAUUCAAGCUUUGAUUUGUAUUUUUUUCCUAAUUAUUUUUUUUAUUAAUAAUUUGGUAUGACAUAAUAGAAAAAUUAGUACACAUAAUUUAAUUGAUAAAUUUCUUCAUUACAUUAUGAAAUGCAUUAUGCAUAUAAUUAAUUGGAAAACUGAAUACUAAUAUUUAUCUUAAUUGGUUUAAAGGGUUUUCCCAUGGGCACUGUCUAUUCCAUGCCCAUGCCAAGGCAGAUUUGUGGCAAAAGACGACGCGGCACUUAACAGAGUUUUCUUUUUGGAGAAUAAAAGUACUUCCACACUUUUAGUUUUCAUUUUGUUAUCCAAAUACUCAUCUACGUUACCGGGUUGUAUUUGUUCUUUUUCUACCUUUUUGUCAUGAUUUUCUUGUUCAUGUAUGAACUAUUUAAAUGUGGAGUACUGAUAAGGCUUAUAUAGGCCAAUAUGUAGAAUCAAUAAAAUCGAAUUAGUUUCUUUCACUGUUAUCUUUAA
rnacentral:lncRNA from 1 species